CUUUGGGGGUAUUGACAGUUGUUCUUUUUUGUUUUCAGUACUUUACAUAUGUUGCUGGAUUGCUUUCUGGCUUGAAUAGAUUUGGGUGGCAAUCUGCUGUAAUUCUUAUUUUUGUUCCUAUAUAUGUAAGACUUCAUGUCAUGUUGUGAAUGCAACAUGUUCGACAGCAUUCCUGCCGAGGAAAUAUCUUCUAUGAUGGGAAGGAGCAGAUGCUGUGUGAAGAUCAUGCUGUCAGGGACCUUGUGGAGCAAUUUGGGCUUGAUGGAUGUCACUCCCUCACUGCUUCUCCAGUCAGACAACCCAGGACACGGCAGGGACAAGGAGGUCUCUCAUCAGUUGUCUCUUCAAUCUAGAUGUCUUGAGCCUUCUGGGAGUUUAGCUGCCUAGGGUUUUGCUAAGCUGUCCAGGUUGAGCCUCAAACUUGGGAUCUUCCUGCCUCAGCCUCCCAAGUAGCAGGGAUUAUAGCUCUUUCUCAAGCUUCACUAAUGCCGUUCACAGACCGACUGGGCAAAUGAUGCUCCCGACAAUAAGGAAGCAGCACAUUGUCUGCUUGUGACAAUGUGGGGCUCUUGUGGCAGCCUCCUGGGGGUCCAGCAUUAUCAACCACGGUUAACAGGAAGCAUCUGAAGAUGUGUUCUUAUUUGGGGUCAAAGUGGAUCUGAACGCCAUCCAUAAACGUGCAGCACUGUGAACAGAACAGCGGAUUCCUGAAAUGAUGUAUGUGUCUGCCAGGAUCAACCACGGGCCCUGCCAGAUCCUUGUGGGAGAUGAGAUGCCAGAGAGCAGCCUGUCAAACAAAGAAAAGCCGAAAUGGCAGCACCGCCUCCCAUGGCAGGAAAUGUAGAAAAUGUUCCUUGGAAUCCAGCUCCCCUUUGUGUAAUCAUGACAAUACCGAGAUACCAACCCAUUUGCUCCUGAGAAUAAUUACGAGUAACAUGCGUGUAAUCCUCAAGAGUUUAUCAAGUGCUCCCGUGGGUGUUAUCUUAUUGAUUGUGUUCGCACUUGGAGUGUGUGGACAGCCCGGGUGAGGAGUCCUCAAGUCUUCGUAUGUCAGCUUGCUUAAGUGGGUCUGUCUCCUUUCCAAAGUGGAGCCAUGGAAACUGUGGCAGCCACUAGGAUGCGGCGGUGUCCUGCCUUUAAAUGACUUGCCUCCCAGCAGUCUCGGAAAUGAAAAAUUACUCGGAAUCCCCAUUGUAGGAAAUUUCCCAUUUUCCCCUUUAUAUUUUGAGUUCUCCAAAUUUUUGGAGAUAAGCAUGGACUACCUUUGUAAUCAGAAAAAACAAAAUACUUAUAAAAUCCAGGGAAGCAUGCAUUUGAAUGGUACCCCGGCUGAUGAGAUUUGCCUCCCAGGGCAAGCCUGGCCUUGGGGAUUGGCUGGCUGCUUUGGCCAAGCUUCCUGAACCAGAAGAGUCAUCGCAUUUUUGAACUGGGGCCAUCGAGAACUUCUAGUCACCCCCUUAGCACACCAGCCAGUGUGCAGAGAAUGUAACCAGCCAGAAGCUGUGUCCUACUUCUCCAAAAUAGAUACUUGGAAAGCUCUAUGCCCGCAGAGGGAAGCCAAAGAUAUUGAUCCCUUAGCUGAAGUGAGAUGAAUUCUGGACAUGUUCUUUUCUCUUUGCAGUAGUUCAGUUUUUAUUAAAUAAUAUGAACUCCUUCAAGGAAAUAUGGUGAGUAAAAAAAGGAAAAAUAUUCUAUUUACAAUAUGUCCACUAAACAUGAUCACAAAAUCUCUCCACAAGUCUUUUAACAUGUAAGUGGGUUGGGAUUUUUUUUUUCCAUAGUGGUACAUAUAUUUAUUUGGACUUCUGAGAUUUCUUUUCCACAAUGAUCUUUUUGAAUAAUUGAGAGUAAACAUUCAUUAUAAUUUUUUUUUUCUAACUGGAUAUGGAACCCACAGCCUUUUGCAUGCUAAGCAGAGGCUUUGCCACUGAGGUUCUUCCCCAACCUAUCAUUAUAAAAAAUUUAAGACUUUUCCAUGGUGAAGGAGAGACAUUUCCCAUAGCCUCCAACAAUUUUUGUAGGUCAUUAGUGCAGGGGUGGUUCUCUGAACUAACUGCCCUUUUAUAACAUGACUUCUUUGUUCUGAGUUUCUGACUUUAAUUGUAAUCUUGAAAGAAGGGCACACAGAACUGGGGAUGUAUGCCUAGCUUGCAUGAUCUCCAGAUCCCCAGCACCCUGGAAGGGCACAUAGGUGAUAUAUCACUCUUUCCUCUCAAAGACGUCCUUUCUAUUUCAUUACUUGGAAAGAUAACUUCCCUGGGUACAAUUUUCUUGCUUUAUACUUUGUCCUCUUCAAAAUGCAGCACUCAUUGCUUCAUUAUUAUUCUUUUUUAAGCAUUUAAUAUUAAAGACUAUAACAUCAGCCAGAAUUUUAUCCUGUGUGUAAACUGAUUUUUUUGUUGUUGUUG